AGGUCAGUUCGAAGGCCCAGUACUUGUACCAUUGUAAGUGCAAUGUGGUUCAAAAGCUGACCAAGA
rnacentral:snoRNA from 22 species